UACAGAGGUCUCAAGCGUUGUUCGGAUUCAUUGGGCGUAAAGGGCGCGUAGGCGGCGAGGUAAGUCGGGUGUGAAAUCUCAGAGCUCAACUCUGAAACUGCACUCGAUACUGCUUUGCUAGAGGACUGGAGAGGAGAUUGGAAUUCACGGUGUAGCAGUGAAAUGCGUAGAGAUCGUGAGGAAGACCAGUGGCGAAGGCGGAUCUCUGGACAGUUCCUGACGCUGAGGCACGAAGGUCAGGGGAGCAAACGGG
rnacentral:rRNA from 1 species